rnacentral:rRNA from 1 species
CAGCCGCCGCGGUAAUACGAAGGGUGCAAGCGUUAAUCGGAAUUACUGGGCGUAAAGCGUGCGUAGGCGGUUUGUUAAGUCUGCUGUGAAAUCCCCGGGCUCAACCUGGGAAUGGCAGUGGAUACUGGCUCGCUAGAGUGUGUCAGAGGAUGGUGGAAUUCCCGGUGUAGCGGUGAAGUGCGUAGAGAUCGGGAGGAACAUCAGUGGCGAAGGCGGCCAUCUGGGACAACACUGACGCUGAGGCACGAAAGCGUGGGGAGCAAACAGGAUUAGAUACCCCGGUAGUCCCUGUCUCUUAUAC